rnacentral:tRNA from 1 species
GCCUCAAUAGCUCAGCUGGGGAGCGCUGCACUGAAGAUGCAUAGGUCACCUGUUCAAUCCAGGUUUGAGGCA